ACUUUUAUGAGAGUUUGAUCCUGGCUCAGGACGAACGCUGGCGGCGUGCCUAAUACAUGCAAGUCGAACGCUUCUUUUCUCCCGAAUGCUUGCAUUCAAUUGAAAAGAGGAGUGGCGGACGGGUGAGUAACACGUGGGUAACCUGCCCAUAAGAGGGGGAUAACA
rnacentral:rRNA from 1 species